UACGUAGGCAGCAAGCGUUGUUCGGAGUUACUGGGCGUAAAGGGUGCGUAGGCGGUCCUAUAAGUAUGGUGUGAAAUCUCCCGGCUUAACUGGGAGGGUGCGCUAUAGACUGUGGGACUAGAGUGUGGGAGAGGAAAGUGGAAUUCCUGGUGUAGCGGUGAAAUGCGUAGAUAUCAGGAGGAACACCGGUGGUGUAAACGGCUUUCUGGACCAUAAACUGACGCUGAGGCACGAAAGCGUGGGUAGCAAACAGG
rnacentral:rRNA from 1 species